UCAGACAGCGUACUGGCACCCACCUUGAUCAGACCAUGAAUCUUUAGAUUUGAUCAUCCAUGAUUUCGAUCUAGCCAUGACUUGAUUUGAUCAUGUUGAUUUUACCAAUCGAGAUAUUGGAUCAAUCGUAAUGUUGGAUUGUGUCACCUGAUCAAUUCGAAUUAUACCUCAUGAAUUCUCUCUCUACUUGAUUUUAUGAAAUCGAUGAAGAAACCUCAGUCC
rnacentral:lncRNA from 1 species